rnacentral:rRNA from 1 species
UCAAGUGAAGAAGCGCAUACGGUGGAUGCCUUGGCAGUCAGAGGCGAUGAAAGACGUGGUAGCCUGCGAAAAGCUUCGGGGAGUCGGCAAACAGACUUUGAUCCGGAGAUCUCUGAAUGGGGGAACCCACCUAGGAUAACCUAGGUAUCUUGUACUGAAUCCAUAGGUACAAGAGGCGAACCAGGGGAACUGAAACAUCUAAGUACCCUGAGGAAAAGAAAUCAACCGAGAUUCCCUUAGUAGUGGCGAGCGAACGGGGAUUAGCCCUUAAGCUUCAUUGAUUUUAGCGGAACGCUCUGGAAAGUGCGGCCAUAGUGGGUGAUAGCCCCGUACGCGAAAGGAUCUUUGAAGUGAAAUCGAGUAGGACGGAGCACGAGAAACUUUGUCUGAACAUGGGGGGACCAUCCUCCAAGGCUAAAUACUACUGACUGACCGAUAGUGAACCAGUACCGUGAGGGAAAGGCGAAAAGAACCCCGGAGAGGGGAGUGAAAUAGAACCUGAAACCGUAUGCGUACAAGCAGUGGGAGCCUACUUGUUAGGUGACUGCGUACCUUUUGUAUAAUGGGUCAGCGACUUAUAUUCAGUGGCAAGCUUAACCGUAUAGGGUAGGCGUAGCGAAAGCGAGUCUUAAUAGGGCGUUUAGUCGCUGGGUAUAGACCCGAAACCGGGCGAUCUAUCCAUGAGCAGGUUGAAGGUUAGGUAACACUGACUGGAGGACCGAACCCACUCCCGUUGAAAAGGUAGGGGAUGACUUGUGGAUCGGAGUGAAAGGCUAAUCAAGCUCGGAGAUAGCUGGUUCUCCUCGAAAGCUAUUUAGGUAGCGCCUCAUGUAUCACUCUGGGGGGUAGAGCACUGUUUCGGCUAGGGGGUCAUCCCGACUUACCAAACCGAUGCAAACUCCGAAUACCCAGAAGUGCCGAGCAUGGGAGACACACGGCGGGUGCUAACGUCCGUCGUGAAAAGGGAAACAACCCAGACCGCCAGCUAAGGUCCCAAAGUUGUGGUUAAGUGGUAAACGAUGUGGGAAGGCUUAGACAGCUAGGAGGUUGGCUUAGAAGCAGCCACCCUUUAAAGAAAGCGUAAUAGCUCACUAGUCGAGUCGGCCUGCGCGGAAGAUGUAACGGGGCUCAAACCACACACCGAAGCUGCGGGUGUCACGUAAGUGACGCGGUAGAGGAGCGUUCUGUAAGCCUGUGAAGGUGAGUUGAGAAGCUUGCUGGAGGUAUCAGAAGUGCGAAUGCUGACAUGAGUAACGACAAUGGGUGUGAAAAACCCCCACGCCGAAAGACCAAGGGUUCCUGCGCAACGUUAAUCGACGCAGGGUUAGUCGGUUCCUAAGGCGAGGCUGAAAAGCGUAGUCGAUGGGAAACAGGUUAAUAUUCCUGUACUUCUGGUUACUGCGAUGGAGGGACGGAGAAGGCUAGGCCAGCUUGGCGUUGGUUGUCCAAGUUUAAGGUGGUAGGCUGAAAUCUUAGGUAAAUCCGGGGUUUCAAGGCCGAGAGCUGAUGACGAGUCGUCUUUUAGAUGACGAAGUGGUUGAUGCCAUGCUUCCAAGAAAAGCUUCUAAGCUUCAGGUAACCAGGAACCGUACCCCAAACCGACACAGGUGGUCGGGUAGAGAAUACCAAGGCGCUUGAGAGAACUCGGGUGAAGGAACUAGGCAAAAUGGCACCGUAACUUCGGGAGAAGGUGCGCCGGCUAGGGUGAAGGAUUUACUCCGUAAGCUCUGGCUGGUCGAAGAUACCAGGCCGCUGCGACUGUUUAUUAAAAACACAGCACUCUGCAAACACGAAAGUGGACGUAUAGGGUGUGACGCCUGCCCGGUGCCGGAAGGUUAAUUGAUGGGGUUAGCGCAAGCGAAGCUCUUGAUCGAAGCCCCGGUAAACGGCGGCCGUAACUAUAACGGUCCUAAGGUAGCGAAAUUCCUUGUCGGGUAAGUUCCGACCUGCACGAAUGGCGUAACGAUGGCGGCGCUGUCUCCACCCGAGACUCAGUGAAAUUGAAAUCGCUGUGAAGAUGCAGUGUAUCCGCGGCUAGACGGAAAGACCCCGUGAACCUUUACUGUAGCUUUGCACUGGACUUUGAGCCUGCUUGUGUAGGAUAGGUGGGAGGCUUUGAAGCGUGGACGCCAGUUCGCGUGGAGCCAUCCUUGAAAUACCACCCUGGCAUGCUUGAGGUUCUAACUCUGGUCCGUGAUCCGGAUCGAGGACAGUGUAUGGUGGGCAGUUUGACUGGGGCGGUCUCCUCCUAAAGAGUAACGGAGGAGUACGAAGGUGCGCUCAGACCGGUCGGAAAUCGGUCGCAGAGUAUAAAGGCAAAAGCGCGCUUGACUGCGAGACAGACACGUCGAGCAGGUACGAAAGUAGGUCUUAGUGAUCCGGUGGUUCUGUAUGGAAGGGCCAUCGCUCAACGGAUAAAAGGUACUCCGGGGAUAACAGGCUGAUACCGCCCAAGAGUUCAUAUCGACGGCGGUGUUUGGCACCUCGAUGUCGGCUCAUCACAUCCUGGGGCUGAAGCCGGUCCCAAGGGUAUGGCUGUUCGCCAUUUAAAGUGGUACGCGAGCUGGGUUUAGAACGUCGUGAGACAGUUCGGUCCCUAUCUGCCGUGGACGUUUGAGAUUUGAGAGGGGCUGCUCCUAGUACGAGAGGACCGGAGUGGACGAACCUCUGGUGUUCCGGUUGUCACGCCAGUGGCAUUGCCGGGUAGCUAUGUUCGGAAAAGAUAACCGCUGAAAGCAUCUAAGCGGGAAACUUGCCUCAAGAUGAGAUCUCACUGGGAACUUGAUUCCCCUGAAGGGCCGUCGAAGACUACGACGUUGAUAGGCUGGGUGUGUAAGCGUUGUGAGGCGUUGAGCUAACCAGUACUAAUUGCCCGUGAGGCUUGACCAU